AUUACAAACAUUUGGUCUGCAGUGUGCUUAAGAGUUGAGAGGAAAAUUAACGGCAGUUAAAGCUCGCUCUCAUAGUUAGAUCAUAAUUACCUAAUGCUCACUCCUUUUUGAGUACAUUCGUAUUGGUGUUUGCCUUGUUUUUGAAUUCGAAUUCGUAGUUAGUCAUCAGUUUCUGGGUUUCUCCCGCAUCCGUAACGAAAGAUUGCCAACACAGUUCCCGCUCAUUGUCUUCCAGACAGCUUUUGGGUUAAAGCUCGUGCUGUUCGCGCUUUUAAAUUAAAGAGUAAGAAGAAAACAUAAUUUUAUAACGAACCGUAAGCAAUUUGCUUGCAUUUGAGUGCGCCUCCAAGGGCCAUUAGCUCAUAAAAAUCAAAUGUUUGUCUUCAUUUUACGGCGCACACCGCCUUGAUUUAUGUGCCCCAGGCUCAGCGGCCGCAGCCUGAAAAAGAGGAAAACUUGUCGACUCUGUUGACUAAUUUUGUGUCGUAAAUCAAUUUAACUAUAAAAGAUACAACAUUCAAUGGGUUUCGAUCAAUUCUCCAGUUUCUAAUGAGAAAUGCAAAUAGACCUGACAGAGCAACUGCUCUCACAGCAAUUAGCAGCAUGAAAAGUGUUUCAAAUGGCUCUGAAAUAGAAUGGAACUUUUUAACAGCAGAUGUUGAAAAAAGCUUUCAAUACGACUCUAGUCUUUCACUCACAUUUCGCAUUGCGGAGGCACAUUGUGCAAUGCUCUUUGAUUAAGUGAGAAAAGCUCAAGGCUUUAGCCGUCCUCCUCUGCCAUUGCUUCGUGGCAUCUUUUGUGCUCUUCGCCAUUCCUAAACUUUUGUUUUGUUUCGAGCAUAUUUUCGUCGUUUUAUGUUUUGCAUAACAGCAGCCAACAACACAACAUUUAACAUUUACAGCAAUGCAAAUGCAAAUACCAAUGCAUACACACACAAGCAUGCUUGCAGUCAGACACUCACGCAUAUACGCACACAAUUUUACAGACCCACAAGCAAACACACUCAUGCCAAAACACGUGCGCAAGCGCUUACGAUUUAUGACCACUGCGUUUCAAAAGUUGACGACGUUCGAUAUCGACGAUAUCCAUUAAGCCCAUAAAAUCGGUUGGUAUGCAAUUAACGUUUAUUGGUGCCCGGCGGCCCGUUGUUGUUUGUAAUCCUUUAACGGGUCAAGAUGACAAAUUAAGAUUAUGCAUUUUUAUUUAUUAUUCAUAUAAAUAA